GACGAACGCUGGCGGCGUGCCUAAUACAUGCAAGUCGAACGCUUCUUUUUCCACCGGAGCUUGCUCCACCGGAAAAAGAGGAGUGGCGAACGGGUGAGUAACACGUGGGUAACCUGCCCAUCAGAAGGGGAUAACACUUGGAAACAGGUGCUAAUACCGUAUAACAAUCAAAACCGCAUGGUUUUGAUUUGAAAGGCGCUUUCGGGUGUCGCUGAUGGAUGGACCCGCGGUGCAUUAGCUAGUUGGUGAGGUAACGGCUCACCAAGGCCACGAUGCAUAGCCGACCUGAGAGGGUGAUCGGCCACAUUGGGACUGAGACACGGCCCAAACUCCUACGGGAGGCAGCAGUAGGGAAUCUUCGGCAAUGGACGAAAGUCUGACCGAGCAACGCCGCGUGAGUGAAGAAGGUUUUCGGAUCGUAAAACUCUGUUGUUAGAGAAGAACAAGGAUGAGAGUAACUGUUCAUCCCUUGACGGUAUCUAACCAGAAAGCCACGGCUAACUACGUGCCAGCAGCCGCGGUAAUACGUAGGUGGCAAGCGUUGUCCGGAUUUAUUGGGCGUAAAGCGAGCGCAGGCGGUUUCUUAAGUCUGAUGUGAAAGCCCCCGGCUCAACCGGGGAGGGUCAUUGGAAACUGGGAAACUUGAGUGCAGAAGAGGAGAGUGGAAUUCCAUGUGU
rnacentral:rRNA from 1 species